rnacentral:rRNA from 1 species
UACGUAGGUGGCGAGCGUUGUCCGGAUUUACUGGGCGUAAAGGGAGCGUAGGCGGACUUUUAAGUGAGAUGUGAAAUACCCGGGCUCAACUUGGGUGCUGCAUUUCAAACUGGAAGUCUAGAGUGCACGAGAGGAGAAUGGAAUUCCUAGUGUAGCGGUGAAAUGCGUAGAGAUUAGGAAGAACACCAGUGGCGAAGGCGAUUCUCUGGACUGUAACUGACACUGAGGCACGAAAGCGUGGGGAGCAAACAGGAUUAGAUACCCCCGUAGU